ensembl:lncRNA
CGACUUCAAGGGCCCCUGCGCCGGCUGCUGCCUUUGAUCGGGCCGCCGCUGGCGCCUAAAAACAACAUCCUCGUCUGCCUAUUAGGCGCGCUGAGGGAUCGUGACAGAUUGUUUAUCCCCGCAAUUAGCGAUGCGGCCCUUCUCCCGCCGCCCGGCCGUCCGGCCCGCGGCCUGACCUGGACUGGCUGCACCGGCCGGACACAGCUUUGAGCCCCCUCUGCGCCUCGCACCUGGACUUUCGGGGGGUCCCCUGUCUUUAGAAAGGCCGCAUCGGUGCGCCGCGCCUCCAGCUGGGCCAGACGCGAGCUGGAGGCCCUAAGCCCUUCCCAGGGCUUGGGAGUGCAGGAGGUCUGCAGAGGCGGCGUGAAUUGCACAGACGCGAGGAUAUUCCCUAACCCGCCCCGGGCCUUAAACUUCGUGGAGCCUGCGGACUUCUGCGAGGCUGCCAAUCUCCCCGGCGUUCGCAUCCCGACCCCUCCCGCCAGACCCCGGACGCCGUCCAGCACCACGCGAAAGUGGCUUCUUAGGCAAACUUCAGUCCAGCACUUCGAAGACAAAGGCCCACUUUUACGCAGAGGUAAAGUUUUGAAGAUUGAAACAGAAGAAAAUGAAGGUGUUUACAGAAUAAAUUAAUGUUAUGUCUUUCUACUAUAAUAAAUAAGCCUGCAGGGUUUUUUUUUUUUUUAAACUAUAAAGACAAUAUACAAGAAAUGACUUCAACUCCAACUAUCGUGGUAAAGAGGGAAACCAUCCUCCACUAUCCACUAGGGAGAAACACAAGCAACUGACACAAGAGAAAGGUAAGGGGGAGGUAGGGAGAGAAACAGGAAAGGAAUAGAGGGAAAAAAGGGAGAAGUUGGAAAGAAGGGAGAUGAGGGAAAGGGAGGAAGGGGGUAGAGCAGAAGAGAAGCAUAGAGCACAAGGGGAAAUCCCCCAGGAACACAGAAAAAUAAGAGACCCAGGGGGACCCACACGGGGACAGGCGGCACGGGCUGUAGCUCGGAGCAAAGUUUUUCCGGCUCCCACUCCCCUCCUCUGCCCUCCUGGGGCCCGGGCCCAG